AUUGAACGCUGGCGGCAUGCCUUACACAUGCAAGUCGAACGGCAGCACGGGAGCAAUCCUGGUGGCGAGUGGCGAACGGGUGAGUAAUAUAUCGGAACGUGCCCAGUCGUGGGGGAUAACGUAGCGAAAGCUACGCUAAUACCGCAUACGAUCUAUGGAUGAAAGCGGGGGAUCGCAAGACCUCGCGCGAUUGGAGCGGCCGAUAUCAGAUUAGGUAGUUGGUGGGGUAAAGGCUAACCAAGCCGACGAUCUGUAGCUGGUCUGAGAGGACGACCAGCCACACUGGGACGGAGACACGGGCCAGACACCUACGGGAGGCAGCAGUGGGGAAUUUUGGACAAUGGGCGCAAGCCUGAGCCAGCAAUGCCGCGUGCAGGAUGAAGGCCUUCGGGUUGUAAACUGCUUUUGUACGGAGCGAAAAGGCUCUCUCUAAUACAGGGGGCUCAUGACGGUACCGUAAGAAUAAGCACCGGCUAACUACGUGCCAGCCGCCGCGGUAA
rnacentral:rRNA from 1 species